AAGAAUAGAUUAUAUUUACAAAUUUUGUUGUUUGAAUGGAUGAACCCAUUGCCUACGUACCAUCACAAAGGAGGAUCAAAACCUUGUAGUUCGGGGUAAAAAUCUCAAAGAUUGGUGAAUUGAUUUGAUCAAAAGCCUUAAGGUAUUUUGUUAUCAAAGGGAGAAAACUCAACUUAAACCGACAAUCCACCAUGUGAGGAAGGCUUCAACAUACUAGUGAGGGGUUAACCCUAUAAUAAGCAUGGAAGACUUAUAAUCUAAUCACUAAGGAUGAGGUGAGAUUUACAUCAACCAUUAUGAUAACUCAAACCUAUGACUAAUGUUUUUG
rnacentral:lncRNA from 1 species